AUUAAAUGAGAGUUUGAUCCUGGCUCAGGACGAACGCUGGCGGCGUGCCUAAUACAUGCAAGUAGAACGCUGAAGACUUUAGCUUGCUAAAGUUGGAAGAGUUGCGAACGGGUGAGUAACGCGUAGGUAACCUGCCUACUAGCG
rnacentral:rRNA from 1 species